GAUGUUCUCAAAGCAUGUUCAGGCGAGGGCGGCGGCCCCGGCAGAAGCGGGCGGGGCGACCCGGUCCCCGCCCCCGCGCCCGCGCCCCGCGCGCGCCUGGCCCCUCGGCCCCGCCCCUGCUCCGGGAUGACGCUAGCCGGGACGCCAAGGUCUCGGCGGCGGCGUAGCGAGCGCAGCGCGGGGCCACUAUGUGGGCCCAGUUGAGCACGAACUGUUGAUCAUCACUGACUGCUGCCCCAGCCCCACAGGAAGGCAUCAGACUGCUUCAAGGGACUCCUGAGGAACAGUGACACCUAAGGAAUCACCAUUUCCUACUUCAGCUGUGUAUCCUCUUUGUAUUUUUAUACUAAAUUCCUAGAAAUGUAAUUGCCAGGUCCAAAAGGAAUAAAAGAAUCUGACACGAACUGCCAAAUCGCUCUAAAAAAAAGAUUACCUCAGUUUAUAUUCCCAGUACCAGCCAUACUUUUUUUUUUUUUUUUUUGAGACGCAGUCUUGCUCUGUUGCCAGGCUGGAGUGCAGUGGCACAAUCUCGGCUCACUGCAACCUCCGCCUACUGGGUUCAAGUGAUUCUUCUGCCUCAGCCUCCCGAGUACCUGGGAUCACAGACAUGUGUCACCACACCCAGCUAAUUUUUUUUGUAUUUUUAGUAGAGACAGGGUUUCACCAUGUUGGCCAGGAUGGUCUUGAUCUCUUGACCUCGUGAUUCACCUGCCUCGGCCUCCCAAAGUGCUAGGAUUACUGGUGUGAGCCGCCACGCCCAGCCCAGCCAUACCUUUUUAAGGUAACUAACAAGUGAGGCUGAAGGCCUCUCCAGAUCAGCUACAUGUUGACGUCGAAAGAUAUCCACUAUAUAUUAAGUGAAAGGGUAAACAGCAGAACAGUAUGCACUGUAUGAUCCAAACUAUACAAAAAGGAAAGUGCAAAGGCCAGGCGCGGUUGAUCAAGAUCACUUGAGUCCAGGAGUUUAAGACCAGCCUGGGCAAGAUGGCGAAAAUCUGUCUCUACAAAACAAAAGAAAACAAAAAUUAGCUGGGUGUGGUGGCAUGUAUGUGUAGUCCCAACUACUUGGGAGACUGAGGUGGGAGGAUUGCUUAAGCACAAAAGGUACAGGUUGCAGUGAGCCGAGAUCAUGCCACAGCAUUCCAGCCUGGGAGAGAGUGUGACUCUGUCUCACACACAUACACACACACACACAAAAAACAAUUGAAUUUGUAUAGCUAGAUAGGUUGAUAUAGAUAUGCCUAUAUAUGUAUACAAAACUGGAUACUCAAGAAAUUCACCAGUGAGAGAAAAUCCAAGGAGAGAAAACAAGUCAUUUUAUUUCCAUUUAUUUUUAUUGAUUGAUUGAUUGCUUGAUGGAGACAGAGUCUCACUCUGUCCCCCAGAUUGGAGUGCGGUGACAUGAUCUCAGCUCAUCGCAACCUCCGCCUCCCGGGUUAAAGCGAUUCUCAUGCCUCAGCCUCCUGAGUAGCUGGGAUUACAGGCGUGCAUCACCACACCCAGCUAAUUUUUGUAUUUUUAGUAGGGAUGGGGUUUCACCAUGUUGGUCAGGCUGGUCUCAAAUUCCUGACCUCAUGAUCCAUCCACUUUGGCUUCCCAAAGUGCUGGAAUUAAAGGUGUGAGCCACCGUGCCCAGCCUAUUUCAUUUUUUUAAAAAAUUAUUUAAACAAAACAAAACAAAGUGUGGCUGGGUACAGGGCUCAUGCCUGUAAUCCCAGCACUUUGGGAAGCUGAGGCAGGCAGAUCACUUGAAACCAGGAGUUCAAGACCAGCCUGGCUAACAUGGUAAAACCCCGUCUCUACUAAAAAUAUAAAAAUUAGCCAGCCAUGGUGGUGUGCACUUAUAAUCCCAGCUACUCGAGAGGCUGAGGCAUGAGAAUCACUUGAACCCAGGAAGCAGAGGUUGCAGUGAGCUGAGAUCACGCCACUGCACUCCAGCCUGGGCAACAGAGUGAGACUCUGUCUCCAUCAAUCAAUGAUGGAGCAUUCUAGCUGAGGCAACAGAGCAAGACUACAUCUCAAAAAUUAAAAAUAAAAAAAUAAGGUCAGGUGCAGUGACUCAUGCCUAUUUUCUCAGCACUUUGGAAGGCUGAGGCCGGCGGAUUACCUGAGGUCAGGAGUUCGAGACCAGCCUGGCCAGCAGUGGGUGAAACCCUAUCUCUACUAAAAACAGAAAAAUUAGCUGGGCGUGGUGGUACCUGUCUGUAAUCCCAGCUACUUGGGAGGCUGAAACAGGAGAGCCGCUUCAAUCCAGCAGGUGGAGGCUGUAGUGGGCCAAGAUCAUGUUAUUGCACUCCAACCUGGGCAAUAGACCAAGACUCUGUCUCAAAUAAAAUAAAAUAGGCCGGGUGCGGUGGCUCACACCUGUAAUCCCCGUACUUUAGGAGGCCGAGACAGGUGGAUCACCUGAGGUCAGGAGAUCGAGACCAGCCUGGCCAACAUGGCGAAACCCCGUCUCUACUAAAAAUACAAAAAAUUAGCUGGGCGUGGCAGUGGGCACCUUUAAUUCUAGCUAUUUGGGAAGCUGAGGCAGGAGAAUUGCUUGAAGCCAAGAGGCAGACGUUACGGUGAGCUGAGACUGCACCACUGCACUCCAGCCUGAGCGAUAAGAGUGAAAGUCCAUUUCAAAAAAAUAAACCAAAGUGAUGUAGUAUUACUUUCAUAAUAAAAAAGGGCAAAAAUCAAAUUCUCUCACUUCUACAAAGCAGUAACAGAUGAAUGAUCAGUGUUGGUCACGACAUAGAACAACAGAAAUAUACAAUGCUCGAGGGAAUUUAAAUUGGUAUACCUUCUAAACAGAAUUUGGCGGUACUUGCUAAAGAUGCAUAUAACCUGUGCCCCAGCAAUCCCUUUCACAGGUUCUUGAGAAACCCCUCUGUGUCCUCAAACCUGCUGACUGGUUUGCAACAGGAUAAGGAGUUUGCACCACAAUGUAAACCAACUAUGGCUGACCUUUGAAUAACACGGGUUUUUGUUUUUAAGGAGAGGGGGUCUCGCACUGUUAUCCAGUCUGAAGUACCGUGGCUUGAUCAUAGCUCACUGCAGCCUUGACUUCCUGGGUUUGAGCAGUCCUCUUACCUCAGUCUCCUAGGUAGCUAGGACUACAGACACAUACCACUAUGCCUGGCUUAUUAUUUAUUUAUUUUUUCAAAUUAAUUCUUUCUUUUUUUUUUUUGCAACGGAGUUUCGCUCUUGUUACCCAGGCUGGAGUGCAAUGGCGCGAAUUAUUUCUUUUUGAGACAAGUUUGCACUCUGUCACCCAUGCUGGUAUGCGGUAGCAUAUUCACUGCAGCCUCUACCUCCCAGGCUCAAAUGAUCCUCCCACCUCAGUCUACCAAGUAGCUGAACACAAGUGUGCACCACAACACCCUGCUAAUCUUUGUUUAUUUUUAGGAGAGACAGGGUCUUGAUAUAUUGCCCAGGCUGGUCUCUAACUCAGGCUCAGGCAAUUAUGCUUCUCCAAAUGUUGGGAUCAUGGUUGUGAGCCACUGUACCCAGCAACAACACAAGUCCACUUAUAUGUGGAUUUUCUCCCACCUCUGCCACCCCUAAGAGGGCCAGACUAACCCUUCAUCUUUCUUCUCUCUCCUACUCAGCCCAGAUAACUUUUGUAUUUUUAGUAGAGACCAGAUUUCACCAUAUUUGCCAGCUUGGUCUUAAACUCCUGACCUUGUGAUUUACCCUUCUCGGCCUCCCAAAGUGCUGGGAUUACAGGCAUGAGCCACUAUGCCCAGCCUUUAUUUUUUACUUUUUUUUUUUUUUUUGUAGAGACAGGGUCUUGUGAUGAUGCCCAAGCUGAUCUCAAAACUCCUGGCCUCAAAUGAUCCUCUCCCUUCAGCUCUCAAAGUGCCACGAUUACAGACAUAUCUUAAUAAGGACUCCAGUUUAAUACUCAGACUGAAAUGUAAAGCCACAAGAUGGUUUUAAGCAGAGAAAUGACAAUGGUGUGACUUAGGUUUCAAAAGAAUCACUUGGAUUGCUGCCUUGAGAACAGAUUUAAGAGCCACAGUAACAAAGCAGGGAGCUUCACUGCAGCCUCAAAGUCUUGGGCUCAAGCAGUCCUCCCAUGCCCCAACCUCCCUAGUAGCUAUGACUACAGGUGGGUGCCACCAUGCUUGGCUAAUUUUUAUGAUUUUUGUAGAGAUGAGUUCUUGCUAUAUUGCCUAGGCUGGUCCCAAAGAGCUGGGACAAGUCUGACCCACUGCAUCCAGCCCAUGUAUAACUUUUCACUCCCUCAAAACUUAAAUACAAAUAGCCUAUCAUUGUCCAGAAGCUUUACUGAUAACACAUAUGGUUGAUUAGUAUGUAUUUUGUGUAUUUGUGCUUGCACUGAGCCAUGAUUGCAUCACUGCACCCCAGCAGGGGCCACAAAGCAAGACCCUAUCUCCUUUAAAAAAAAAAGUUAUACACGUGGUUUUGACUGCAUGGAGGGAGGGUUAGUGCAUCAUCCCUCACACUGUCCAAGAGUUAGCUGUAUUUCUCUAUAAUGAUGUUUAAUUCAACUUCUUUUUUUUUCCUUUCAAAUAAACAGCAAAACUGUCUUAA